rnacentral:rRNA from 1 species
CAUGGGUAGCAAACAGGAUUUGGUACCCUGGUAGUCCAUGCUGUAAACAAUAAAUAUUAAAUAUUUGAUCAUUUUAACAUCAAAUAUUAAAAGUUAACACGUUAAAUAUUUCGCCUGGGGAGUAAAACCGCAAGGUUGAAACUCAAAGGAAUUGACGGGAGCUUAUACUUACGGUGGAGCAUGUGGUUUAAUCCGAUAGUCCGCGUGGAAUCUUACCAAUUUUUGACAGUUAUUUAGUUUUGAUUAAAUAAACAGGUGUUGCAUGGUCGUUGUCAGCUUAUGUUUUGAAAUUUUAUAAGUAUAACCCUUAAUUUAAUUUACUAAUAUUUAGAAAAAUUUUUAACUAAAAAUUACUAAGUAAGUACUAUUAAGUUAGAAAUAUAAAAGUUUUUUUAUAUUUUAUGAGGAUGAAAAUAG